UCUUGCGUGAGUCAGCGUUUCUUCGAUAUUAUAUUUGUUUCGUAAAAAGUUUGCUAUAUUAUUAUGAACUUGACGAACGUUCUCUAUAAGACCGUUGCUUAUUCAAACAAUUUUACUUUCUGGCCAAACGUGGCUCCAAUGGCCACUCGUCUUUUCGUUUGAACAAUCAGUUAAUCCUUCGUUAAUUCUUAUCAGCAAUCUAUUAAAAUCUUUUUACCAAAACUUUAUGUCUGAAAUAGUUUGAAUAUUUUUAUAUUUUCUUCUUCAUCUUAAAAUGUCAACUUUCACCGCUAAUUCCAGACCAAAUCCAUUCGCAUUUUUUUCACUCUUGUAUUAUUAAUAUACAUAUUAUUACAUAUCAAAUAUUCAGAUAUAUCUAGAUUAACGAACAUUGGACAAUUCUUAAUAAAAUUCACAAGAAAAUUUUUCUAGCAUCGAUCAUUACGCUUUCCAGGAUUCCAGCCUGCAAAUUUAGGCGAUUUUUUCAAACUUGCCUCCGACGUUUUGUAAGCAAAUGAAGACAAUUUGUGAACUUAUGUCACGGAGCUCGAACUUUAGCAAGAUCGUGAUCUCUGCUCUCGGUAUGCAACCUGUUGCCUUCGUGGCAAAAAGGUAUCUCAUCAGUAAGUAGAGUUCGUGAAUUUGUGGUGAACUUUAACACACCUCUGAUCUACGAGGCUUCGUUAACGGUAUAAUAAUUAAUUUCUAUUUCACGAAAUUGCAUGUAAAUCGCCUGAAUAAACGAUUUCUAAAUUAGACGUAAAAAUUAGAAUAUUUUAAGAUGAAUUUGAUGGAAAAUUUGCAAAGUAUAUUAUUGUCGACUAAUUUAAUAUUGUAGCAUAUAUCACGCUUUGCUGCAAAUGCAGUGUAACGUAAUUAUUCAAUUUUGCAGAUAUUUCGCUAUAAUUCAUAGUACGAUUAAUAGUAUUAAUUAACAUUAUUAAUACAAUUAACGGUACAGUAUGUAUAGAUUAUUCGUAAUUUCUGGUAAAGAACAAGCACCGAUAAUAGUGGGAAGAUAACUUUUGAAAAAAUCUUUUGAAGAAAAAAGAGAAAAUGAAUAUUCAAGUGUAUUAAUUAUUCUGAUCUGUUUAUAGCACGUAUUAGUACAUGUUACGGAAUAAUCUCAGGUCGUUAAAUAUCAAUCGGAUGGUGAAAUAAGUAUUACAAAAGCACCGCGAGUUCAAUUUGGUUAUUCGAUAUAGAAAAUGAGAGUGGAAUUGGAGUGGAGCACAAGCGAUGAUAAUUUUCCUUAUAAAGGAGAAUUAUGAGUCGAGACGCAGGUGACGGGCGCGGUAGACGGCGUUUUUGACAGUACGAUCAUUUUUCAAGGGUGUGCGGCAAAGUGGUCGACAAAGAGAAACGACGAAUAAGUUGAAGUCGGUGCGAAAUGGCGAGACAUUUUUUAGCAGGCAAUGCUGAGUCUCCUAUAAAUAUGUAAUACCAAUCUUCUAGCCGACUGUACCAAGCAUUUUUACCCUUUCUAGACUGGCGUCGUUUGUCACAUCUUGUCAAAUUAAGCCUUGAACUUCCUUUUCGUGGCAACGAGCGUGACGCACAAGAAACUCUUGCAAAUAAGUAGUGUGACGUUACGCAACCCAUACUGAGAGAUAUCUCUAGAGGGGUACCGAAUCGAUAAUGUAUAGUAUGUAUGUGUAAUACGAAUAGUAAUCCUACUUAAUGGCUCUCGGAGACGACAGAUUGACCAAGCCAAUUGUUCAAACAUCGGGUUAGGAAGAUGAUGGAUGGAAUUGAAGGCAAUGAAUAAAUGGAUCUUGGCAAUGAGCUUGACGACGUGCCUCCUCGUUUCUCCUUCUUCUUCUUCUACUUCUUCUUCUUCUUCUGACAUUAUAAGAAUCAUCUUUGAGUACACUUUGAGAAAAAGUAAGUUAACAGAUCAUUGGAACAUGGAUACUAACGACGGAGUCAAGUUUAACGGGAACCCAAGUCGGUCUUAAUAGAAAAAUUUUACUUACUAAGAGACAAUGUUUCAUUUCCUAUAUUUAAAGAAACCAUUUCAAAAUUGUAGACGGCUAUUUCGUCUCGAAUCAAAUCUACGAUAUUGCGUAUUAUGCGUGCGUAUUAUGUACAUACUUUUCAAAUACUAUGUGAUUCGAUUCCUUCAGUGUUUAUAAAUACAUAGAUUCUCGAAUUCUAUGAGUGCUUGGACUGGAGUUCGAAAUGAGCUUGUACAACCUAAUCCUAAAUACUUACUUUCUAAGUUUCUUUUACAACAAGUGUUUGCGUCAACAAUUGUUUAGAAUUUUCAAAUAUAAAUACGUAUCGAAAUUGGUUCAGUCCAAUAAUCUUGGGAAUGCUUGGAUAGAUUGCUGAAAGAGAUUCCGUAAUAAUACGAAAUAAAUUAAAAACUAUUUAAAACUGCGUGAAUUAAUUGGAUAAAUUUUUGAUAAGAUUGCAACACUUUACAAAUUCAUCACGUGUCACAACUGAGUUCACUUAAGUCACGUAUUUGAAUUGAUGGGAUAAUAUCUUUGCGACACUGUAGCCAAUUUUGAUGGGAAUUUUGUAAUAGCCAAAGGAUGACACACAGUGCACACUCGUGUAAGCGAAUUUGGGAAAUGCGCUAGCUGGGUUUUCACCUACGGCGAAUUUACCCUGGUUCGAUGUUUAUAAUUCGAGAAGGGCCUGGCUUUAAUUACCACCCUGCAGUGUUUACACGAGCCGUAAUAUUUGAUGCGACCAGAUAGGACCUCCGUUGACGUGGAUGGACCGCAUAUCGCCAGAGAAAUAUGUAUUAUAUCGAACAUUUUACCGAAAUACAAAGUUUUUCAACAAGAGACUACGAAAGAGAGAAUGACUUGCAUUUUCUAAUCAGGGCAUAUUUACUUGGUACGCGAACAGGGCGCAUAUAACGUGCUUGUUAACAAUGCAAAUGACUCGAAGCUAGGCUAAUAGAAAGAAAGAACGGAAGGAGAAAAGCAACUGGUAAACAAAAUGCAGAAAAAUUGUUCAAUUUCCGCGACCGGAGACUGUUUACCUCCAACGACCAAGGACGCGACAUAACAUAGCUUCAAUAAUUUAUUAUUUUAUUCCUGACUGCAUUGCGGAAACACGCCAACAAAAAUCGUACGUACACCGACGGAGAGCAAAGAAAUUCUCUAAAACCACUCUAACUCCAAGAAUUUAUGAAAAUAU